UGUCCCUCCCGCUCGGUUCCUAUGGACGAGGCGGAGCCGCCGCAGGGCUGCACGAAAGCGGCCUCAUACCUUUCCCGAGGGGUCACCCACCACCACCGGGCUCGCACCUCGCGUGCUGUUAUUCACGGCAUCCUACCGACAGAUGUUUGCAAAACCCCGUUUUCCCACUGCUGCCCCGGGAACCGAGGGAAAAAAUCAGUGACAGCUACAUGAGUUAAAAGCACGGAAUAAGGGGGAAAGUUUAUGGCUCUCCCCCUUCACAGCCAACGGAGUCAGACGUUCAUGUAAACACUUGUGAAUCUUAUUGGGAGGAAGUUUUCAGGGGGCAAGAAAUGGGCAGCAAAAAGUCUGCCUAAUGCCAACCGCUUCUUUGUGGAGACCAACGAGAUUCCCUUUGUUAUAACAGGGAACGCGUCCGCUGCUGUGAGCCCGGGCUGUGGGUCGGGGCUCCGGGGGAGGGUUUAAACCAGAAGAGCCAUGGAAAGGUGUGUGUGUGCUCAGCACCGGGCAACUCCGACUGCACGGCGUGAUUUUCCUCUCGGUGCCUUCAGAGAAACAGCCCUCUUCCUCGGAAGGCAAUAGAAAUGUCACCGGGCAUCAUCGGCACCGACGCCUGGACAUCAUGGGGGGAGCACUGACUUAAUAUUCCACAAAAGAGCGUGGCUGAAGACUCAAUACUCUCUCGACCCUCUCCCCUCGUUCCGUCAGCUCUUCUUCUUGCUGCUGCUUCAUCAGAUCACUCUCCCAGAACUCAGCGACAGAAAGGACCCAACAGAUCGAGGGAUGUGCACACGAAGUUUCCCCUUGUCGUCGCAGCACAGCUUUUUAAGCGCCCCAGGUGCUGCGGGCUCCUCGCAAAGCCUCGCUGCGCUGUGAUGGAUCUCGGGCUCUGAUCAAAUCCUGCUGUUCCUCGCUACGCAGGAAGUCUUUCCAAAUUAGUCUAACACCAGGGCCGAGCACUGUGACUAAUAGGCAUAACUGCACAGUUCACGCUAUCUGUAGGGCAGGUUCAGCAGGGGAAACGGCGGCACCAGGAAUGUGCUGCUGCCCGGAGUCAGGCGAACUCUUCGAGACAAAGAUCAGGGGAAUUAUCGGAGAGGCGAAACAAUCUCAGCAUAAAUAAUGGUGCAGCCUUACGUUGCUCGGGAGGCAGUUCGUCACUAACGGCUCUGGAUUCACUGAAGGAAGAAGAAAGAGGGCAUACAGCAGCCCUCGGGGCAGGCAGCCACACCUCGGGAUCCCACGGGCUGGGGCUGAGCGGAAGGGCUGUGACCCACAGCGUUAAUUGCAGUCCACGUGGAGCUGAGAGCGUUCUGUUCAGCACCGGUCAUCAGAUCUCGUCCUACUUUACCUUCAGUUGUGUCCAAUGAUUUGUGUCUGACAAAAGCACGUUUUUCAGGAAAUUAGGAAAAAAAAAAUCAAUAACUGGAUUUGCCACUUCCCUGGGCAGAAUCUUACAAAUGAGUGCUUUCCUUUACAUGUGAAUCUGUCCAGCCUCAUCCUGCCGUUAUUUGUUCAGGCUGUGCCUUUCCUUAUCGUUUUAAAAAGAGCCUCCACACCUCACUUUACAGCUCGUGGGGUAUUUCACGUUGUAAUCCAGUCCCUUAAGAAAGGAUACGCUUCCAGAGAGCCUUGUGUGGCAGUCCGGGGUUUCAAACGUAUGGGGUGGAGGUCAGGGGCUCUCCUCCACGCUCUUCAAAAUGUCAGUGUCCCUUUGAAAAAAGUCUGAGUGUGACAAGGCAUCGUAACCCUGCCUGGACACGGAGACGAGGGGAAGGAUGGGAAGAAGAGGGGUGAUCUGGGCAGCUGGGAGAAGGAGCCCAGGAGUCACAUUUUGGUAUCGGCUGAAGACAAAACUUUAUUUUGUCAGAUGCACGCAAUUCGCAGUUACCUUUUUGAAUAUAUAUUGCUGGGAAGCUUUCCCU
ensembl:lncRNA